rnacentral:rRNA from 1 species
GACGAACGCUGGCGGCGUGCCUAAUACAUGCAAGUCGAGCGGAACUGGGGGAGCUUGCUCCUUCCAGUUUAGCGGCGGACGGGUGAGUAACACGUGGGCAACCUGCCCUGCAGAUCGGGGUAACUCCGGGAAACCGGUGCUAAUACCGAAUAGUUUGGCGCCUCUCCUGAGGCGCCACGGAAAGACGGUUUCGGCUGUCACUGCAGGAUGGGCCCGCGGCGCAUUAGCUAGUUGGUGGGGUAACGGCCCACCAAGGCGACGAUGCGUAGCCGACCUGAGAGGGUGACCGGCCACACUGGGACUGAGACACGGCCCAGACUCCUACGGGAGGCAGCAGUAGGGAAUCUUCCGCAAUGGACGCAAGUCUGACGGCACAACGCCGCGUGAGUGACGAAGGUUUUCGGAUCGUAAAACUCUGUUGUGAGGGAAGAACACGUACCAACUAACUAUUGGUACCUUGACGGUACCUCACCAGAAAGCCACGGCUAACUACGUGCCAGCCGCCGCCGUAA